GACGAACCGUGCGAACGUUGUUCGGAAUCACUGGGCUUAAAGGGCGCGUAGGCGGCCGCACAAGUCAGGGGUGAAAUCUUUCGGCUCAACCGGAAAAGUGCCUCUCGAUACUGUGCGGCUCGAGGGAGGUAGGGGCGGACGGAACUUCCGGUGGAGCGGUGAAAUGCGUUGAUAUCGGAAGGAACGCCGGUGGCGAAAGCGGUCCGACUGGCCCUCUACUGACGCUGAGGCGCGAAAGCCAGGGGAGCAAAGCGGG
rnacentral:rRNA from 1 species